CUUUCUCCUCUCUUUCCUUUUUCGCAUGAUAAUUCAGAGGGAAGAGAGAGAGAAAAUAAAGAAAACAGAGAGAGAGAAGGGGGGAGAAAGAUCAAAAGACGAAAUUGACCUCAAUUUCUCUGUUCUUGCUGUUUCUGCUUCUUCUUUGUUUCUUCCCUCUCUCAUUUAGCCGAUUUCAGGUUUGAUAAUUGUUUGUACGGUCGCCAUGAACGAGAAGGCCAACGUCUC
rnacentral:misc_RNA from 1 species